AUAUCCCCUCACACACGAAACUUUCCAAUGGAUUCUUCACACCUAGUUUAUCCAAAGCCAACCCAUCCUUCAAAUCACAGCUAAACAAGUAAAAUCCAUGGAAGCUGAAGAGUCACAGAUUACUGGAAACACAGAAUGUAGGGCUUGAAGGAAUUAUAAAAACAACCUCAACCCCAAUCCCACAGAAGAAAUGCAGGUUACAACAAUUCAAAUACUUCCUCCUCUAAAAUAAGACAUCUGAAGACACAGAACUGCUAUACAAGACAGAUGUGCUGAACACUGUAAGCCUGUGUCAAAGCAUCUAGAAAUGCAGUGUCACUCCAGUGUGGGGUAACAGAAGAAGUGAGAGGAAAGAACAGAGAGGAUAGCAUCGAAAGUUUAGCACAUAACCUGAAAAUUGCCAAGAAUUGACCCAAAGUCCUUACUA